rnacentral:rRNA from 1 species
CCUACGGGAGACAGCAGUGAGGAAUAUUGGUCAAUGGACGAGAGUCUGAACCAGCCAAGUAGCGUGAAGGAUGACUGCCCUAUGGGUUGUAAACUUCUUUUAUAUGGGAAUAAAAUGUUCCACGUGUGGGUUUUUGUAUGUACCAUAUGAAUAAGGAUCGGCUAACUCCGUGCCAGCAGCCGCGGUAAUACGGAGGAUCCGAGCGUUAUCCGGAUUUAUUGGGUUUAAAGGGAGCGUAGGUGGUUUGUUAAGUCAGUUGUGAAAGUUUGCGGCUCAACCGUAAAAUUGCAGUUGAAACUGGCAGUCUUGAGUACAGUAGAGGUGGGCGGAAUUCGUGGUGUAGCGGUGAAAUGCUUAGAUAUCACGAAGAACUCCGAUUGCGAAGGCAGCUCACUGGACUGCAACUGACACUGAGGCUCGAAAGUGUGGGUAUCAAACAGGAUUAGAUACCCCAGUAGUC